ACUAUUUUAUAAUGUUAUAUAAUUGUUGGUUUAAUGAUUUGUUUAUUUUUAUACUUAUUAAAAUUAUUUUUUUAUAUUUAUUAUUAUACGGGGAUUAGAUACCCCCUUAUAGUGGAUGUUAAUUGUAUUUACUCAGUGAUAACUGAAAAAUUUUGGCAGCUAAUUAUUUCUAUCUGGGGGAUUGUGUUAUUUAGAUAGAUGGUCCGCUUAAUAGUUUAUUCUUUUUAUGUUGGUGUAUAUCCGGUUUAAAAUAAAAAACAUAUGUUUUUUAUUUUAAUUAAUUUUUAAUCCAGGUCAAUAUGCUGCUGAUGAAAGUGAUANAUAAUGCUAUACUAUUGAAUGUGAUAUAAAUAUUUAAAUAUAUUUAUAUAUA
rnacentral:rRNA from 1 species